UCAGGCCUCUGUCUCUGGUCCCCAGCCUCAGUGCCUCUUGGCCCAGGGCCAAGCAGUUGUGGUUGCAGAAGGAGCAAUUAGGCUGCCUGCCUGUGGACUGGGAGACGGGGACAGUGGGGAAAAGAAGGAGAGAUCCCAGCUGCCAAGUCUGGGGGUAGCAGACUGGAGCCCAGGGGUGAUGGAGACUUUUGAUGGCUUUUGGCAGGGACAGACUUGGAGACAAAACCGAUCCAUAGAAGGGCUUCCCAAACCUUGUUUAGCAACAUCCCAAAUUGUCUCCAGUUAAAGGAAGGCCUUUAUCAGAUUCAUAGAUGAGCUUUCAUUGUAAAAAUAAAUGUACUUUGGACCACUUC
rnacentral:sRNA from 1 species